UACGGAGGGUGCAAGCGUUAAUCGGAAUUACUGGGCGUAAAGGGUGCGUAGGUGGUUCGUUAAGUCCGUUGUGAAAGCCCCGAGCUCAACUUGGGAAUUGCAGUGGAUACUGGCGAGCUGGAGUGCGGUAGAGGAAGGUGGAAUUCCCGGUGUAGCGGUGAAAUGCGUAGAGAUCGGGAGGAACACCAGUGGCGAAGGCGGCCUUCUGGACCAGCACUUGCACUCCAGCCCGAAAGCGUGGGGAGCAAACAGG
rnacentral:rRNA from 1 species